UACGAAGGGUGCAAGCGUUAAUCGGAAUUACUGAGCGUAAAGGGUGCGUAGGCGGUUGUUUAAGUCUGCCGUGAAAUCCCCGAGCUCAACCUGGGAAUGGCGGUGGAUACUGGGCAGCUAGAGUGUGUCAGAGGAUGGUGGAAUUCCCGGUGUAGCGGUGAAAUGCGUAGAGAUCGGGAGGAACAUCAGUGGCGAAGGCGGCCAUCUGGGACAACACUGACGCUGAAGCACGAAAGCGUGGGGAGCAAACAGG
rnacentral:rRNA from 1 species